UACAGAGGUCUCAAGCGUUGUUCGGAUUCAUUGGGCGUAAAGGGUGCGUAGGUGGCGAGCUAAGUCAGGUGUGAAAUCUCGGGGCUCAACCCCGAAACUGCACUUGAUACUGCCUUGCUCGAGUACUGGAGAGGAGAUUGGAAUUUACGGUGUAGCAGUGAAAUGCGUAGAUAUCGUAAGGAAGACCGGUGGCGAAGGCGAAUCUCUGGACAGUUACUGACACUGAGGCACGAAGGCCAGGGGAGCAAACGGG
rnacentral:rRNA from 1 species